rnacentral:rRNA from 1 species
UACGUAGGGUGCGAGCGUUGUCCGGAAUUAUUGGGCGUAAAGGGCUCGUAGGCGGUUUGUCGCGUCGGGAGUGAAAUCCACUGGCUUAACUGGUGGCUUGCUUUCGAUACGGGCAGACUGGAGGUAUGCAGGGGAGAACGGAAUUCCUGGUGUAGCGGUGAAAUGCGUAGAUAUCGGGAGGAAUACCGAUGGCGAAGGCAGGUCUCUGGGCUAUAACUGACGCUCAUGCACGAAAGCGUGGGGAGCAAACAGG